rnacentral:rRNA from 1 species
CUUCGGUGUCCGAGUUGUAAUUUGAAGAAGGUAACUUUGGAGUUGGCUCUUGUCUAUGUUCCUUGGAACAGGACGUCACAGAGGGUGAGAAUCCCGUGCGAUGAGAUGCCCAAUUCUAUGUAAAGUGCUUUCGAAGAGUCGAGUUGUUUGGGAAUGCAGCUCUAAGUGGGUGGUAAAUUCCAUCUAAAGCUAAAUAUUGGCGAGAGACCGAUAGCGAACAAGUACAGUGAUGGAAAGAUGAAAAGAACUUUGAAAAGAGAGUGAAAAAGUACGUGAAAUUGUUGAAAGGGAAGGGCUUGAGAUCAGACUUGGUAUUUUGCGAUCCUUUCCUUCUUGGUUGGGUUCCUCGCAGCUUACUGGGCCAGCAUCGGUUUGGAUGGUAGGAUAAUGACUAAGGAAUGUGGCUCUACUUCGGUGGAGUGUUA